rnacentral:sRNA from 1 species
UGCUAAGUGCACUACUACACAAGAAUGU